GGCUGAAGACGAAGGAGAAGCCUUCCUGGAUUGGAGCGAUGAUGAUGACAAGGAGUUUGAUCCGAGCACUCUUCCAGAUCCCGAUAAACACAGAGACUCCGGCGAUGAAGAGGAUUGUAAUAUGGAAGAUAACGACGGUGACCCCGGAAAGGCAUGGAAAGUGCGGAAAAGAAACUACAGCAGCAGUGAAGGUGAAGAAGAGGUGCCCAAGGUCAAGCGAAAUAAAAAGGCCAUGCAGAAGAAAGAAGCAUUUGAGCCACUGGAUACGGGCCUUUCUUUGGCAGAAGAUGAAGAGUUGGUGCUGCAUUUACUCAACAGUCACAGAUAAUUAUUUCUCUCCCCUUCCCUCUUAAAGUCAUUGUUGCCAUUAUGUUGACAAGUGAUAUAAACACAAUUUGUUUUAGGGCACAUUGGCUACCCUUCAUAUUGAUAAAUGAGUUCUAGGAAGGAAGGAUCCUUGUCUCUGGGCAGCAACCAGAAAUUACAAUAGGUCUGUGCAUGCCCUGUCUCCGAAUGUGCCCAGGAUGUGGUGGUUUUUCAAGGUCUCCGAGCCAGCUUUCUAGUGCAAUCCCUCCCUGUCUGUUCCCCGUCUCUCUCCGUUUUAAACGGACAGCUUCUGUUUGAACCUUACCAGGAGAGGUGAAGAUCUUCGUUGGUCUUUCGUUUCUAAAUUCUUCCCGUAAAACUCCACGUAGCCCCGACAACUGCAACAUCUGAAAAGACAAAGAAAGCGGCAGAGGAGUUCCUGAGAAAGGGUAUUUUUGUAAGUGGCUGGCGAUGAGCAAUAAGAGUGUUUCUCACAAAAUAAAAUGCAGAUUUGUUUUCA